rnacentral:rRNA from 1 species
CAGGGGAGCAGUCUAGGAGGGCAAGUCUGGUGCCAGCAGCCGCGGUAAUUCCAGCUCCAAUAGCGUAUAUUAAACUUGUUGCAGUUAAAAAGCUCGUAGUUGAAUUUUAGCGUGUUCGAGUUUGCCAUUCGUUUGGCUUUUUCGAGUUCGCUUUUGGGUUUUCCCUUUUUACUUUGAGAAAAUUAGAGUGUUUCAAGCAGACUUUUGUCUUGAAUACUUCAGCAUGGAAUAAUAGAGUAGGACUUUGGUUCUAUUUUGUUGGUUAUUGAACCUUAGUAAUGGUUAAUAGGAACGGUUGGGGGCAUAA